rnacentral:rRNA from 1 species
GAUGAACGCUGGCGGCGUGCCUAAUACAUGCAAGUCGAGCGAACAGACGAGGAGCUUGCUCCUCUGACGUUAGCGGCGGACGGGUGAGUAACACGUGGAUAACCUACCUAUAAGACUGGGAUAACUUCGGGAAACCGGAGCUAAUACCGGAUAAUAUAUUGAACCGCAUGGUUCAAUAGUGAAAGACGGUUUUGCUGUCACUUAUAGAUGGAUCCGCGCCGCAUUAGCUAGUUGGUAAGGUAACGGCUUACCAAGGCAACGAUGCGUAGCCGACCCGAGAGGGUUAUUCGCCACACCGGGACUUAGACCCCGUCCCCACUCCCACGGGAGGCCGCAGUAGGGAAUCCUCCGCAAUUGGCGAAAGCCUGACGGAGCAACGCCGCGUGAGUGAUGAAGGUCUUCGGAUCGUAAAACUCUGUUAUUAGGGAAGAACAAAUGUGUAAGUAACUAUGCACGUCUUGACGGUACCUAAUCAGAAAGCCACGGCUAACUACGUG